UUACACACACAUACAAAGAAAAAUGUAAUAAACUUAUCUUAAUACUGAUUUGGGGAUAGAGGAGAACUCUUUCCUGAAAAUUUAUAACCAUAGCCUUUAUUAUGAGGAUUUUUGGAAAACAAAAUCAUAACAUUAAUGCAGAAUUCUUUUCAAGAAGGUUCAGAGUAAUAGUGUUCUUUAGUCUGUAGCACAGAGUGACACAAAUACCUAUGGAGGAAUAUACCUUCAAAGUAUACCUCAUGAUAAAAUUCCAAACAACAUGAUAUUAAAAAGAAAGACCUCAAAAUACUAUUGGAAAAAAGAAUCUAUAAGUUAGGAAACAACCAACAACAGAUUCAGAUAUCCUCUAAUAUAUGAUAUAAAAAUCACAUUUUAGCAUAUGUAAGAAAAAUGUAAUUUUUUAUGUUCAUAUAGAUAGAUAAAGGGAAAAUAUAAUAAAAUAUGUUGGUAUACAAUAGUGACCAAAUAUAUUUGAGAAUGAAUCAAAGCCAAAACUCAGUAUACAAUGUUGAAGAGAGAAUUAAUGAGUUGGAAGGUGCAUACAAAGAAGUUAUCCACAAUAAAACAGAUCAUGAAGUGGAAAUAUUGAAAAUAAGAUAGUAAAAAUGGUCAACAUAAAUGUCACUAGAGAUACAAAAGAAGAGAAAAUUGAGAGACAAUAUUUAAAAAGAUAAUAGCUAGCUAGAGAUUUUUCAGAAUUUGAUGAAAACACCGAUUUCGAGAUCCAGAGAAUUCCAAUCAAUCCCAAACAAAGUAAAGAAAAAGAACCUCACAUUUAAACUCCCUGGACUUAAAAAUCAGAUCAUCAGAGACAGAAAGAAGAUAAAAGCAGUCUGAAGGGAAAACAGGGGAAUAGAUCAUAUCAAAGGUGUAAGUAUUAUAUUGGCUUUCUAAUAGCGACAAUAGAAACCAGAAGAGAUAGAAUGAAGUAAUCAGUAUCCUGAUUAGAGAUAAUUUAUCUUAGAUUUAUAUAUUCAAUAAGUGUAUUUUUUUAAGAUCUCAAUAAUGCUUGAGAGAGUUAGCUUUAACAGACCUGCAAAAUGAAUACACUUGAGGAUACAGGAAAUAGGACUUAGAUGGAAGGACUAGUUCAGAAAAGAAUUGUUGGACACAGAAAUUGGCAAACAUCAAAGCAAGCAUUACGCAUAUGUAAAACUAAGUUAUGAACAUAAGUAAAACUAGUGAUACUAGCUAAUUGGUGAAAUCUUUGAAAAUUAUAGCUAAGUACUAUAAACAAGUACAUAUGUUUGGAAGGAUUAAUCAGAGCAUCUUACAUGGUCUUAUACAUCAUAGAAAUGAUGGUGAAGAUAACUCUUAAAGAGAUUUGUGUUAAUAAUAGUCACAUAACUUUAAAAUAUAGAAUUUCUAACUUCCCAGUUUGUAAAUAAAAAAGAAAAACAGAAAUGCAGGAAAACAUAAACAUUAAAUUCACAAAACAGCCAAAGCAAUCCUUAACAAAAACAACAAAGUUAGAGGCAUUAUAUGACCUAGAUUCAAAAUAUGCUAUAUAGCUCUGGUAAAUAAAGCAACAUGGCAUUGGCAUAAAAAUAAACAUAUACACCAAUGGAAUUGGUGCUGAGAAAUAAAUGUAUACAUUUAUGCUCAACUGAUUUUUGACAAAGGCACCAAGAACACACAAUAGGGAAAGAACAUUCUCUUCAAUGAAGGGUGCCAGGACAACUGGAUAUCCUUAUGCAGAGGAUGAAAUUAAACCCAUAUCUCUGACCAUAUAAAAAAUCCACUCAAAAUGGAUUAAAGACUUAAAUAUUUAAGACCUAAAACUGUAAAAUGCCAUAAGAAAAUGUACAGGAAAAGCUCCAUCACAUUGGCAUGGGUGGUGGUUUUUUAAAUGUAACCCCAAAUACACAGCAACAAAUGCACAAAUAGACAAAAUGGG
rnacentral:lncRNA from 1 species